CUUAAUGGCGGAUCGCGUGGGGAGACCUUGCGGUCUGCCGGUACCCAUCUUCCGGUUCGCUAACCCCUCGCGGUCCGCCACCCUC
rnacentral:antisense_RNA from 1 species